UACGUAGGGGGCAAGCGUUAUCCGGAUUUACUGGGUGUAAAGGGAGCGUAGACGGCUAAUCAAGUCAGAAGUGAAAACCCAGGGCUCAACUUUGGGACUGCUUUUGAAACUGAGUAGCUAGAGUGCAGGAGAGGUAAGCGGAAUUCCUAGUGUAGCGGUGAAAUGCGUAGAUAUCGGGAGGAACACCAGUGGCGAAGGCGGUUUACUGGACCACAACUGACGCUGAGACACGAAAGCGUGGGGAGCAAACAGG
rnacentral:rRNA from 1 species